AUGUCCAACCGUCCACAUAAGCAUCACACCAAGUCACCAAUCAGCCUGUCACUACUAUUCCUCAGUCCUCACGCGAUACCGAGUCCCACCCAGAUCGGUUCCAUGGCAACCACAAAUCCCAGUCCAAGGUCCGUAAUAAUGCCCAAGUGGAGGCGCCAAGACAGUACAAUCGAAAACAACAGCAACGGAAUCCUUGACCCAAACUCCUUUGUAACGACUAUGGCUGCAAGGGGCAACGGAAUCUCAUUGGCCUCUCCCACAAGUUCCUGCACGGAGCAUGAGAAGACCUCCCUUCUCCAGUUCCUUGCUGGGCUGUCGAGUGACGGUGGCCUCGCUGCCUCAUGGCAGGAUGGCAUGGAUUGCUGCACGUGGAGAGGGAUCACCUGCAGGCAAGAUAGCAUGAUCACCAGUGUCAUGCUCGCUUCAGAAGGCCUAGAGGGGCACAUCUCGGAGUCCCUUGGAAACCUCACCGGGCUGCAGUACCUUAACCUCUCUCACAACUCGCUGUCUGGUGGUGGAAUUGGUGUCGUCCAGCAGCAUCACCGUCCUUGA
rnacentral:rRNA from 1 species